rnacentral:rRNA from 1 species
UACGUAGGGUGCAAGCGUUGUCCGGAAUUAUUGGGCGUAAAGAGCUCGUAGGCGGUUUGUCGCGUCUGCUGUGAAAACGCGGGGCUCAACUCCGCGCCUGCAGUGGGUACGGGCAGACUAGAGGUGCAGUAGGGGAGACUGGAAUUCCUGGUGUAGCGGUGGAAUGCGGCAGAUAUCAGGAGGAACACCGGUGGCGAAGGCGGGUCUCUGGGCUGUAACUGACGCUGGAGGAGC